rnacentral:rRNA from 1 species
AUUGAACGCUGGCGGCAGGCUUAACACAUGCAAGUCGAGCGGAGAGAGGUAGCUUGCUACUGAUCUUAGCGGCGGACGGGUGAGUAAUGCUUAGGAAUCUGCCUAUUAGUGGGGGACAACAUUUCGAAAGGAAUGCUAAUACCGCAUACGUCCUACGGGAGAAAGCAGGGGAUCUUCGGACCUUGCGCUAAUAGAUGAGCCUAAGUCGGAUUAGCUAGUUGGUGGGGUAAAGGCCUACCAAGGCGACGAUCUGUAGCGGGUCUGAGAGGAUGAUCCGCCACACUGGGACUGAGACACGGCCCAGACUCCUACGGGAGGCAGCAGUGGGGAAUAUUGGACAAUGGGCGGAAGCCUGAUCCAGCCAUGCCGCAUGUGUGAAGAAGGCCUUAUGGUUGUAAAGCACUUUAAGCGAGGAGGAGGCUACUUUAGUUAAUACCUAGAGAUAGUGGACGUUACUCGCAGAAUAAGCACCGGCUAACUCUGUGCCAGCAGCCGCAGUAAAAC